AACGAACGCUGGCUGCGUGCCUAACACAUGCAAGUCGAACGAGAAAGGGGCUUAGGCUCCGAGUAAAGAGGCGCACGGGUGAGUAACAUGUGGGUAACCUGCCUCUCAGAUUGGGAUGACUCGUCGAAAGAUGAGCUAAUACCGAAUAAGACCAAAGCUCCAGCCAGAACAGGGGUGAAAGAUAGACUCUACUUGCAAGCUAUCACUUAGAGAUGGGCCUGCGUACCAUUAGCUAGUUGGUAGGGUAACGGCUUACCAAGGCAAAGAUGGUUAGCUGGUCUGAGAGGAUGAUCGGCCACACUGGGACUGAGACACGGCCCAGACUCCUACGGGAGGCAGCAGUGGGGAAUAUUGCGCAAUAGGCGAAAGCUUGACGCAGCAACGCCGCGUGAGUGAUGAAGGCCUUCGGGUCGUAAAGCUCUGUCGGGAGGAACGAAUGCUCCUGAGGUUAAAAGCCUCGGGAGGUGACGGUACCUUCAAAGGAAGCAACGGCUAACUCUGUG
rnacentral:rRNA from 1 species